UUAAUACAUUGUUUAAAAUGACUAAAGUACAUAAUAUAUUGUUCCCAUCAAAAUCUCAUAAUUGAAGGGUCCAAUUAACAUUUUUAACAUAUAUGUCCUGGAAGAAGCAAACAUUCUCUGCCGUCUCCGUUUAUACUAGUGACGCUGUUAGGCAAUACAAGAGAAUCGAAGAAGAGAGAGCCUCGCAUGAGAGAAGAAUUUGUCAGCAUAGCCAAGGAAGACUGCCCGAAGCAUCAAAGGGAAUCAUGCAUUUAUAAAUAUAUCCUUGAAACCUCUUAGAACAUGGAUCGGGCAAGUCAUCCUUGGCUACCAAA
rnacentral:misc_RNA from 1 species